AGAACUAACGAGGAUUCCCUUAGUAGCUGCGAGCGAACAGGGAGAAGCCCAGCACUGAAUCCCGGAGACUCAGUCUUCAGGGAAAUGUAGUGUUUGGGAGGGUUCAUACACCUGGUACCGUUGCACUGCGCUCAAGUCCAUCUUGAAAGAGGCCACGGUCCCGAGAGGGUGCUAGGCCCGUGGUAGGCCAGUGCUGGUGUUAGGUGAACCUCUCCUCAGAGUCAGGUUGCUUGAGAGUGCAGCCCUAAGUGGGUGGUAAACUCCAUCUAAGGCUAAAUACAACCACGAGACCGAUAGCGAACAAGUACCGUGAGGGAAAGUUGAAAAGAACUUUGAAGAGAGAGUUCAAGAGUACGUGAAACCGCUCAGGGGUAAACGGAAAAGACCCGAAAUUUUCGAAGCGGGAGAUUCACGUCUUUUCGCGGGUUCGACGCUCUUCUCAUCGUCGACAGCUUUGCUCCUGCUUAGACUCGUCUAACGCCAGGUUGUCAAGUUGCAGAGGGUUGAGCGAAGGCCCGCGACGGACCGCACUUCUCCCUCAGUAGAACGUCGUGACCCGUCCGGUGAAGGUCUUGCGGAUGUGGGGUGGAGCCUGUUCGUUCGUGCUUGCACGUUUCACGGAUAGACCCCCGCACCCUGGCUUUGAAAAUCCGGGCGGUAUCAAAGACGGUGUACGGCCGCUCUCCCAAGGAGGAAACUCUUUGAAGAGAGCGCGUUUUUGGCUCUUGACAAGAUGCUGAACAGUUCAAGUCAAGACGGGCUUUCGUCCGUCUGGCUACUCUCGGCUCUGUUAGUCUUGACGCUCUGACGCUGGCCUGAAUAUUUUUUCUACACACCCGUCGACGGCGAAUCAGUUUUGGGCUCUUGUCCGACCCGUCUUGAAACACGGACCAAGGAGUUUAGCGUGUGCGCAAGUCAUUGAGUGGCAAAACUCAAAGGCGAAAUGAAAGUGAAGGAAACUUCACGUUUCUUAGGGAAGAUGAGUCGAUUACCUGCAAAGGGUCACUCCGCACUCCCGGGGCGUCUCUAUCUCAUUGCGAGAGGAGGCGCACCUAGAGCGUACACGCUGAUACCCGAAAGAUGGUGAACUAUGCCUGGCCAGGACGAAGUCAGGGGAAACCCUGAUGGAGGUCCGCAGCGAUUCUGACGUGCAAAUCGAUCGUCGGAGCUGGGUUUAGGGGCGAAAGACCAAUCGAACCAUCUAGUAGCUGGUUCCCUCCGAAGUUUCCCUCAGGAUAGCUUGCGCUCGAGAUGAACGAGUCUCAUCCGGUAGAGCGAAUGAUUAGAGGCCUUGGGGUCGAAACGACCUCAACCUAUUCUCAAACUCCAAAUAGAUGAGAACCCCGGCUUUCUUGAACUUUUGUUUGAAGCCGUGGGAUUCGGAUCAGAGUGCCAAGUGGGCCAAUUUUGGUAAGCAGAACUGGCGCUGUGGGAUGAACCAAACGUCGAGUUAAGGCGCCUCAAUCGACGCUCAUGUGAAACCAUGAAAGGCGUUGGUUGCUUAAGACAGCAGGACGGUGGCCAUGGAAGUCGGAAUCCGCUAAGGAGUGUGUAACAACUCACCUGCCGAAGCAACUAGCCCUGAAAAUGGAUGGCGCUGUAGCGUCGUGCCUAUACUCGACCGUCAAUGGCAAAGCAAAUUCUUCGCCUUCGGGUGUAGAAUGUUAAGCCUUGACGAGUAGGAGGGCCGCGGCGACGUGCGUAGAAGGGUCUGGGCGUGAGCCUGCCUGGAGCCGUCGUCGGUGCAGAUCUUGGUGGUAGUAGCAAAUACUCCAGCGAGGCCCUGGAGGACUGAUGUGGAGAAGGGUUUCUUGUGAACAGCUGUUGCACAAGAGUCAGUCGAUCCUAAGCCCUAGGAGAAAUCCGAAGCGAUGGGUUGCCGUUAACUACUACCUAUAUUGUGGUGGCACCCGUUUGGGCGAAAGGGAAUCCGGUUCCUAUUCCGGAACCUGGCAGUGGAACCGUUUCAAAUCGGGCCCUCUGAGGACUCGUCAGGGCAACCUGAGUAGACCCGGAGACGCCGUCAGGAGGUUGGGGGAGAGUUGUCUCUUCUCUAUAAGCGAUCGAGUUCCCUGGAAACUUCUAGCAAGGAGAUAGGGUUUGGAUCGCGAAGAGCACUGCAGUUACGGCAGUGUCCCAAUCUUCCUCUCGGACCUUGAAAAUCCGGGUGAGGGCCACGAGGAACCCCACGCUAGAUCGUACCCAUAUCCGCAGCAGGUCUCCAAGGUGAAAAGCCUCUAGUCGAUAGAUUAAUGUAGUAGGAAGUCA
rnacentral:rRNA from 1 species